GCUUUAGCUCAGCUGAUAGACCUUGAGACUUACCGGUACUCUCAAGGUUAUGGGUUCCAGUCCCACGUUGGGCA